AUUCCUUUCUUCAUUUAAUUGCACAUGCAUUUCCCACCAGUUUUUGUUUUCGUGUAUAAAACGGACACGGUGCACUGCUGAACAUUAUUAUUUGAUCUGUCAAGUAUACACAACGCAUCAACAUGUUCAAAUUGAUCUUUGCCUUCGCCGCCUUUUUGGCUUUGACAAUUGCUGCACCAAACCCUGGACUCAUUUCUAGCUACAGUGCUCCAAUAAUUACUUCAGGAUACUCAACAUACUCCGCUCCUUUGACUUACUCUAACUACAUCAACCCAUCUAUUUACUCAUCGCCCUUGGCUUAUUCUGCUGGAUACGGAUAUGCUCCUUAUGCCUAUUUGUAAACUAUGUUCUAUGCCACAAUAAAGACUUGAAAAUUUA